rnacentral:lncRNA from 10 species
UGAGUGGUCAGGAGCAAAGAACUAUGCAAUGUGAAGCAUUAAUUACACUCAGGUUCACAGAAGACAGGAACCCCCGAAAGAAAUGCAUCUAAAUUAAUUUAGUUUCUGUAGGUGUGGACAAGGCAAGGGAAAUAACUGACUUCUGAUUCAUCUUACCACAGAAGAGCUGGAAUAGCUCCUCUUGAUUCCGCAAAUGACCCUUUCCCAGGGGAGCUGCACUCCCUGAGAGUCUGCAUGGGCCUCUGUCACAUUAUAUAGGGAUUUGCAAUGGCAGGAGAGUGGCCCUGUGGUUUUCCCUCAAAAGGAGUUGUAUGGAACACACUCAGUGUCUGCCAUGCUUUCUAUGGGAGAAAGUGGUUCUUCCUUGUGAUAACUCCGCUCCACAAGUCUACCCACCACUCCCUCUGAGGGAUGCUGCCUGGAUUCCCUUUCCCAGUGCUUGCUCGCUCCUGGUUCCAAGUCUUCCACUGCUUGUUUGGAGCUGAAUGGUGCCUCUGACCCCCCAUUCAUGUGAUAAAGUUCUAACCCCUCAUACCUCAGGAUGUGGCUGUUUUGGAGCUAGGGCCUUUGAAGAGCUAAUUAAGUUAAAAUGAGGUCCAUGGGUGAGCCCUAAUCAGAUAGGACUGGCGACCUUACUAGACAGAGACACACACAGAGGAAAGACCAUGGGAGGACACAGGGAGGAGACGGCCAUCUGCAAGCCAAGGAGCCCUCAGGAGAAACCAGCUCUGCCAACGCCUUGAUCUCCAACCUCAGCCUCCAGAAUUGAGAAGUACUUUUCUGUUGCUUAAGCUGCGCGGGAUGUGGCGCCGUUACAUCAGCCUCAGCAGGCUAGCCCACCAUGCUGUUUCUCGCCUGGCCUGCAUUGUGGUACUGCGUCCAGAGUUGGUUCCUGACGGUGGGUUCCUGGUCUCGCUGACUUCAAGACUGAAGCUGCUUCUCGGUGAGUGUUACAGCUCUUAAAGAUGGCACGGACCCAUAGUAGUAGUAAAUUUUAUUGUGAAGACCAAAAGAACAAAGCUUCUACAGCCUGGAAGGGUACCCCACUGGGUUGCUGCUGCUGGCUGGUGGGUGGCCAGCUUUUAUUCCUUUAUUUGUCCCUGCCCAUGUUCCAUUUCUGCCCUGUCAGAGUGCCCGUUUUUCAAUCCUUCCUGCGAUUGGUUACUUUUAGGAUCCUGCUGAUUGGUGCGUUUUACAGAGCACUGAUUGUUGCAUUUUACAGAGCACUGAUUGGUGCAUUUUACAGAGUGUUGAUUGGUGCAUUUUACAACCCCCUUGCUAGCUACAGAGUGCUGAUUGGUGCAUUUUACAAUCCUCUUGUAAGACAGAAAAGUUUUCCAAGCCCCACUCGACCCAGGAAGUCCAGCUGGCUUCACACCUCUCAGUACCACUGAGGCUGUAGUCUCAGAGAGAGGAGACAAGGGGGAACGCACUUGUUGGUAAAAGCCACAGUGUGAAUCCUGCUGAAAUCCUACCUGGAAGCCCAGUGUGGCUCAGGAUAAGUUACUGAACUUCUCAGUAGAGAGGGAGCCUGUCAUGGCUCAAUAGUGCCCCACAAAGAAAUAUGUCUGUCUCCUAACCCCUGGGACCCGUGACCUUAUCUGGAAGUAGGGUCUUUGCAGGUGUAAUUAAGUUCAGGAUCUUGGAAUGAGAUGAUUGUAGAUUUAGGGUGUCCUUCUGAGAGAAAAGGGAGGGGAUAAGACAUCAACGCAGAGAGAGAAGGCCACGUGGAGACAGAAGCAGAGAUUAGAGUGAGGCGACAACAAGCCAGGCUUGCUCAAGGACUGCCAAGGAUGCCAGAAGCCACCAGAAGCAGGAGCAGACUCCCUCGGAGCCACCAGAACGAAGCAGCCUGCCACACCUUGGCUCUGGACUUCUGUCCUGCAGAACUAGCAGAGAAUACAUUGGGGUUGUUUUAAGCCAUCUAGUUUGUGGUAACUUCUUACGGCAGCCCCAGGAAACAUGCAGACUUCACUCUUUGUGUGGCUGUCCCAGAGCCUGCUGCCCUGGAUGGGAGGCUGUGAUGUGAAGCUCAAGCUCUUGGCUCCAGAGCCAGACCCAGGCCCUGAUCCUGCCCCCUGGCCCAGCCCUGAGACCUCUGAACCGUGUCCUGUCUGUUUCCAGUUUAGUAACACCUGCCUCACAGGUUGCUGUGAGGCCUGGAUGGCAUGUGAACCAUCGCUGCUCCUGACCCCUUCUUCCAUCCAGAUAAUCAGGCAGGCAGAGCGCUAGCAACACAUGGCACAGGAGUUAGAGCCUGGCUUUUUCCUUGGAAGGGUGGUGCACUUCCUAGAGUGGGUAGGUCAAAUAGUGAAGAAAGACCUACCUGGCACUGGAUGCUGGGGUGUCAGAGGGCUUAUGUAUACAGCACCUUUGACAUAACUAACUCCAUCUUAGAAAAGACUCCAUUUCAUUUUUUUCUCAGGGCAUUUUGCCAACAAGGAUAAGAUGUUUUGUUUAAUAAACAAAUAAAAACUAAAGACUGCAUCCAACCACAUAAGGACACAGCAAGCACACUCUUCCUCUAGCAGUCCUUACCAGAAGACUCUGUGUCCAUCAAAGUCAGGCCUGCAGUGGCCUGGAACGGCCAUCCUAACUGACACCAUCUUCCGAUCACCCACGAUGACAGUGCGGGCAUCUGCCUUGGAAGACUCUGCCCUCUUUCUUGCGAGACCGAUGGACCAUCAGGCCCAGGCCAGGACUCUUGUGGUCUUCUUCACUACCCCUGGACUGCUUCAUUAACUCUUUCUCCUAUUUCUUUUUCCUCUGAUGUUAAAUGUUACUUUGUUUAUUGUGGAAUGUUUAACCUAUAACAUUUAUAUAUUGAUUAAGUAUACUGUGAUGUAUGGUUUGCAGUAUUGACGGACCUGUGAAGUGGCUUGAGCCUGUGUGCCCACAGCUCUGAAUCCCAAGUGAGCGGGACCUGCUAAGGAGAAUGCCUCCUUGGGAACUCCAUGUAACCUGUGGCUUUUGUGAUUAAAAUAGCAUCAAUAAAAG